rnacentral:rRNA from 1 species
GACGAACGCUGGCGGCGUGCCUAAUACAUGCAAGUUGAGCGCUGAAGGUUGGUACUUGUACCGACUGGAUGAGCAGCGAACGGGUGAGUAACGCGUGGGGAAUCUGCCUUUGAGCGGGGGACAACAUUUGGAAACGAAUGCUAAUACCGCAUAAAAACUUUAAACAAAAGUUUUAAGUUUGAAAGAUGCAAUUGCAUCACUCCACGAUGAUCUCGCGUUGUAUUAGCUAGUUGGUGAGGUAAAGGCUCACCAAGGCGAUGACACAUAGCCGACCUGAGAGGAUGAUCGGCCACAUUGGGACUGAGACACGGCCCAAACUCCUACGGGAGGCAGCAGUAGGGAAUCUUCGGCAAUGGACGAAAGUCUGACCGAGCAACGCCGCGUGAGUGAAGAAGGUUUUCGGAUCGUAAAACUCUGUUGGUAGAGAAGAACGUUGGUGAGAGUGGAAAGCUCAUCAAGUGACGGUAACUACCCAGAAAGGGACGGCUAACUACGUGCCAGCAGCCGCAGUAACAC